rnacentral:rRNA from 1 species
AACCUUUACACUGCACGACAGUGCGAUAAGGGAAUCCCAAGUGCGUAGGCAUAGAGCCUACGCUUUUGUCCACCGUAGGGAGGUGGACGAAUAAGGGCUGGGCAAGACCGGUGCCAGCCGCCGCGGUAAUACCGGCAGCCCGAGUGAUGGCCGAUCUUAUUGGGCCUAAAGCGUCCGUAGCUGGCCGCACAAGUCCGUUGGGAAAUCUGCUCGCUUAACGAGCAGGCGUCCAGCGGAAACUGUUCGGCUUGGGACCGGAAGACCUGAGGGGUACGUCCGGGGUAGGAGUGAAAUCCCGUAAUCCUGGACGGACCGCCGAUGGCGAAAGCACGUCGCGAGAACGGAUCCGACAGUGAGGGACGAAAGCUAGGGUCUCGAACCGGAUUAGAUACCCGGGUAGUCCUAGCCGUAAACAAUGCCUGCUAGGUGUGGCUCCCACUACGAGUGGGUGCUGUGCCGUAGGGAAGCCGCUAAGCAGGCCGCCUGGGAAGUACGUCCGCAAGGAUGAAACUUAA